rnacentral:misc_RNA from 1 species
UGGCAGUCCCAUAAUUUUUACCAAAAACUGAAACACCUCACAAAUAAAUUGUUAUGGCCAGGUCAAUCCGAAUCGCACUGGACUUAGCUCUAAUUUCUAUAAAGACCGUGAGAGGACCUUUAUCAAACUUUUGGUAUUUCGCUAAAUCCCGGAUCGCUGGCACUGCCGCUCGACCUAUAGUUGACAAUACAGUUAUAGAGAAAUUAGAACAUGGCAUGUCAAGAACUACCGAUUUAUUAAUUGAUAAAAUGGGAGUAUUACGAGAUCGCCAAUUAGAAGGAGAAAAAGAGUACCUUGAAAAAGAAUUAGAAAAAGUUAAUCAAAAAUUAGGAAGUGGAUCGUCUUCGUCUUCUCGUUGCUAGUG